rnacentral:rRNA from 1 species
UACGUAGGGGGCUAGCGUUGUCCGGAAUCAUUGGGCGUAAAGAGCGUGUAGGCGGUUCGGUAAGUCCGCUGUGAAAGUCCAGGGCUCAACCCUGGAAUGCCGGUGGAUACUGUCGGGCUAGAGUCCGGAAGAGGCGAGUGGAAUUCCUGGUGUAGCGGGUGGAAUGCGCAGAUAUCAGGAGGACACCGAUGGCGAAGGCAGGUCACUGGGCCGCAACUGACGCUGAGGAGCGAAAGCAUGGGGAGCGAACAGG